rnacentral:rRNA from 1 species
AACCUGCGGAGGGAUCAUUACAGAGUAUCAAAACUCAAACCCCCUGUUAUUAGUACCUGUCGUUGCUUUGGUAGGCGGUCCCAGGGCGGGACCUUCCUUUGCUUCGGCGCCUGCCAGAGGUAGACUCUAUAUAUAUGUUGCUCUGAGUAAAAGACCAAUUAUCAAAAUCUUUAACAACGGAUCUCUUGGUUCUGGCAUCGAUGAAGAACGCAGCGAAAUGCGAUAAGUAAUGUGAAUUGCAGAAUUCAGUGAAUCAUCGAAUCUUUGAACGCAUAUUGCGCCCUCUAGUAUUCUAGGAGGCAUGCCUGUUCGAGCGUCAUUUCAACCUUCAGGCCCGGCCUGGUGUUGGGGCCCUAUAGUAAUAAGCCCUAAAUUACAGUGGCAGUCUCUCUGGACGCCGAGCGUAGUAAAUGUUCUCGCUUAGGGGUUUUAGGGUGUGCCUAGCCGUUAAACUUCUUCUGGUGACCUCGGAU